rnacentral:lncRNA from 1 species
UAACAAACAAAACUUUAUUUUCCUUUAAUACAAAAAUUAAAUAGCAAGGGGUUUUCUUUGUACAGUGAUAAAUUAGAAAUUUACAGUACAGACAUCGAAGCAGACAUACUUUUGUACAUCCUUAAAAGCAGGGUCCAUUUCCUUUGAAAUUUAGCAAUUCAUUCAGGGCAUGUGUAGCAGGAAGUUUGCCUGGUACCUCUUUGUCAAACAUCUGAAAGUCCCCCAGAUUGGCUUCAAGGUUCCUGGAGCUGUGGGGUGGCAUGAGGAUCCAAGAAAGGCCACAGAGCAUCCAGCCCAACAGCUGCACAGAGCAGGGGGAGUCACAUGUUAUCUUUUUGCAGAUUACACCUAAUAUUUAAUCAACCUUUCUUACAAAGAACCCAAGGGGCCUUCAUUUUUUUGACCUUUUCAAGCCUCAUAACAUCCCUGUGAGGUAGACAAAAUUCAGAAACACCUCCGUGCCUCGCAGGGAGAGAUCUAGAAAGCAGCUUACCCCUCCCAAAGCCCACAGCCAAGUCAGGGCCCCAGCCUACUUGUACAAUUUGAAAACUUUCACAACCUGGGAGAGAAGAUGGACCCAACCUUUGUGGGACAGAGUGGCUCUUGCCCCUCUUUCCAGAAGCCUUCUAGGAUGACAGUGGUCAUGUACUGAAUAUUGUAGGAGAGCAAGGAGGUAUAAAAGCUUUGAGGACAUGGCUCAUACAGGACCCCAAAAAGGUCCUCUACAAAUUGCCUGGGUAAAUUCUGGAAAUUGGCUAAUGCAAAUAAGAGAAAAAAGGUAGAUCAGAAACAGAAACAGGCUACUAUCAGGGCAACUGAGCUUGCCAAGGGGAACAGGCAUGUCGGGGCAUCUAUAAGUCAUUUGUCUCCUGGUACUGUCAAGUGUGUAAUCACUGCACAAGUGCAUGGCAAGAGACAGCAACAGAAAGCUCUAUAUAGGCUAGAGUGAAAUGAAAUCCAUUAUGUAGGGCUCUAGUAUCUGAUCCUUGGUAGGAGCAAAAUGCUCUCUAAGUAGUUUCCAAGAUCUAUGACCUAACCCUGGAGGAAUAGUGAUAACUCAGGUCAUUUGCAAGACAUAAUACAAACCCAGAUGGGAACUCAAAUAAAAUAAAGGAACCAAUAGGAUUUUCAGAGUCCAGUGACUCGACAUGAUUGACUGGAAUAGCAACUCUCUCCAGUGUCCUCCAUCACAGAACAAAAUACAAGAUGUAAACUGAUUUUAAGAGGUUCCUUCCAGGCCAGGUGUGGUGGCUCACACCUGUAAUCCCAGCACUUUAGGAGGCCGAGGCGGACAGAUCAUGAGGUCAGGAGUUCGAGACCAGCCUGGCCAACACAGUAAAACCCCAUCUCUACUAAAAAUACAAUAAGUAGCUGGGCGUGGUGGCAGACACCUGUAGUCCCAGCUACUCGGGAGGCUGUGGCAGGAGAAUCGCUUGAACCUGGGAGGCAGAGGUUGCAGUGAGCCAAGAUUGUGCCAUUGCACCCCAGCCUGGGCAAAAGAACAAGACUCUGUGUCAAACAAACAAACAAAAAAGAGGUUCCUUUGACAGUCUGUGCUCUGUGGCUCCCUUCCCUAACUGCAGCUGUGGCCACCUCACCAGAAAUCAAAUAUUGUACCGGCCUGGUGAAAUCCCUGAGUCUGUUCCUCUAGGGCUGAGACUGCUGAGCUCAUCUUUGUGUCCUCAGGUCCCAGCUUGGUUCUCAACACAAUAAGCAUUUAAUUCAGUGACCAUGAGGAUGCGGGGAGCCAGAGAAUAUAGAGCUAAAGGUGCUGAACAGAAUCUAAAAUCAGAGUCUAGACACACGAGCUUCCCAGAACCUGAGUUUGGGGAGUGCAGGUGAGAGAGUGACCUGGAAGAGGAAAAUCAGAGAGCAUCUCUGAAAUUAAAUUCUCCAGUUUCAGGCCCAAGUAAGUUGCCAGUUCAGAAAUAGUCUCAGCGAUCAGGAAGUGGGUCUCCAUAAAGGAAAGAGGAUAUGAAUCAACCAAGAAGAUCAAGCAGAUGGUUCUGGCCAGCACCAUUCUACUCCCAUGUUUCCCUGCCCUGAGGUUUGGCCUAUAUAAGCAGGAGAAAGGAGUCUACCAGAAAGGACGCUGGAUGGAGGUGCCAUUGCAUUUAUGUUUAAUCUCUGGAGGCCAAGGGAUUUCUGAGGAAGCUACAAUCAUACCUAUUUACUGCAGGUUUCAUAGAAAAAAAAACAAUGCUCACCUUCUCUCUAGCAAGAUGCUGUCCUCAAACACACCCAUACAAGUCACAUGGAACGCCCCAAGCCCUGAAUUGCCGGCAAAGCCAAAGCAGAUGUGUGGGCCCAUGUCCUUGUGGACUACUCUUAUAGUCUUCC